rnacentral:rRNA from 1 species
AUUGAACGCUGGCGGCAGGCCUAACACAUGCAAGUCGAGCGGCAGCGGGAAGUAGCUUGCUACUUUGCCGGCGAGCGGCGGACGGGUGAGUAAUGUCUGGGAAACUGCCUGAUGGAGGGGGAUAACUACUGGAAACGGUAGCUAAUACCGCAUAACGUCGCAAGACCAAAGAGGGGGACCUUCGGGCCUCUUGCCAUCAGAUGUGCCCAGAUGGGAUUAGCUAGUAGGUGGGGUAAUGGCUCACCUAGGCGACGAUCCCUAGCUGGUCUGAGAGGAUGACCAGCCACACUGGAACUGAGACACGGUCCAGACUCCUACGGGAGGCAGCAGUGGGGAAUAUUGCACAAUGGGCGCAAGCCUGAUGCAGCCAUGCCGCGUGUGUGAAGAAGGCCUUCGGGUUGUAAAGCACUUUCAGCGAGGAGGAAGGCAUUGAGGUUAAUAACCUUAGUGAUUGACGUUACUCGCAGAAGAAGCACCGGCUAACUCCGUGCCAGCAGCCGCGGUAA